AUUGAACGCUGGCGGCAUGGCUAAAACAUGCAAGUCGAACGCGAAAGUGGAGCUUGCUCCACGAGUAGAGUGGCGAAAGGGCGAGUAAUGCGUUUCUAACGUACCCCAAGGUCGAGGAUAGCUCAUCGAAAGGUGAAUUAAUACUCGAUAACCCCACCUGCCGCAUGGUAUGGUGGGCAAAGGCUUGCUGCCUUGGGAUCGGGGAACGUGCUAUCAGGUUGUUGGUGAGGUAACGGCUCACCAAGCCUAAGACGGCUAGCGGGUGUGAGAGCACGGCCAGCCACACUGGGACUGAGACACGGCCCAG
rnacentral:rRNA from 1 species